AGGACGAACGCUGGCGGCGCGCUUAACACAUGCAAGUCGAGCGAGAACCGGUCCUUCGGGACCGGGGAAAGCGGCGAACGGGUGAGUAACACGUGGGUAAUUUGCCCUCGGUUCUGGGAUAGCCCGGGGAAACCCGGAUUAAUACCGGAUAGCCUCUCUGGUUUUCGGACUGGUGAGAAAAGGUGGCUUCGGCUACUGACCGAGGAGGGGCCUGCGGCGGAUUAGCUUGUUGGCGGGGUAACGGCCCACCAAGGCGACGAUCCGUAGCUGGUCUGAGAGGACGAUCAGCCACACUGGGACUGAGACACGGCCCAGACUCCUACGGGAGGCAGCAGUGGGAAUCUUGCGCAAUGGGCGAAAGCCUGACGCAGCGACGCCGCGUGCGGGAAGAAGGCCUUCGGGUUGUAAACCGCUUUCAGGAGGGACGAGGCCACUCGGGUUAAUACCCCAGAGGGUGACGGUACCUUCAGAAGAAGCCCCGGCUAACUACGUGCCAGCAGCCGC
rnacentral:rRNA from 1 species